CUGGUUCUCCCCGAAAGCUAUUUAGGUAGCGCCUCGUGAACUCAUCUUCGGGGGUAGAGCACUGUUUCGGCUAGGGGGUCAUCCCGACUUACCAACCCGAUGCAAACUACGAAUACCGAAGAAUGUUAUCACGGGAGACACACGGCGGGUGCUAACGUCCGUCGUGAAGAGGGAAACAACCCAGACCGCCAGCUAAGGUCCCAAAGUCAUGGUUAAGUGGGAAACGAUGUGGGAAGGCACAGACAGCCAGGAUGUUGGCUUAGAAGCAGCCAUCAUUUAAAGAAAGCGUAAUAGCUCACUGGUCGAGUCGGCCUGCGCGGAAGAUGUAACGGGGCUAAACCAUGCACCGAA
rnacentral:rRNA from 1 species